rnacentral:rRNA from 1 species
UGGUGGAGUGAUUUGUCUGGUUUAUUCCGAUAACGAACGAGACCUCAGCCUGCUAAAUAGUUCUGCAAACCAUCUGCUGGUGAGACACGGGGCUGUCCGUCGUGGUUUUCGGAUCGCGCGGCGACCUGUGUGGAUCCUUGACGAGUUUGUACUGAACUUCUUAGAGGGACUAUUCUGUGUUUAACGAUUGGAAGUUUGAGGCAAUAACA